CUGAUAUUAUUUUAGUGUAGCUGUUGUCUUUCAUAAUGGUAAAGGUUUUAAAUAGAAGAGAUCUGCUCUGUCUUGGACUGUCCCCAUUCAUUCUUCUCUGGGAUGUCCUCUGUAUGUUCAGUGGGAAAGGGGAAGGCACUAACAGCUAGUCAGCUGGUGCUUCCUUUGUCUGUACCAGCUUUACAUCCUAAUCAUUUAUCAGCUGAAAGGGCAGACUGACUCUCCACAGGACAUCUGCAGCCAGAGAGCAAGUACUUUAGUAUUUCAUGUUGACUCAGCAGCGAGAAGGGAAAACUAAUAUUUUGCUCAGAUUGACUGUACCUCAAGAUCAGAGAGGAAUGAAAACGGAACUUGAACACUCAUGAGACUCUCUCCUUGCUUUGCACCAACAGAUGCUGGUUUGUUAUUAUCCUGGUGGGAGCCCUGAGCUGUCCAGCACCAAAUGGGUCUCUAAUCAUGGUGCAGCAUGCUGUGCAGAGUCCAUCCAUGCUGUGCAGAGUUCAUCCAUGCAAGUGCUCCGCAAUUUGCUCCUAUGAGCUCCUAUGGGAUUUUCUUAAAAAGAAGACAACUCUGUUCAUAAUUUCUACUAUCCAACAAAAGAGCAUUCCCAUGGGAACUUGUUGCUGCAGCUGUCCACAUAGAGACGAAAGAGAAGAAGAACUACGUAUCCCAGAGGACCUCGUGGUCAGAGAAGGAAGAUACAUCAUGGAAGAUACGUCAUCUGGUUGCACACGGUCUCUCACUUUCGCUUGCUGCCGGGAGAGGAGUGGGUGUGCUUUCCAAGCCGUGUGCCUUCAUCAGUCCUGAGUGAACUUUAGUAAGACUGGCAAUCCAAGGCUUGUGUGCCAGCAGCUUUGAUGGUGGAAAGGAUGCUUCUGAGUUAAGUAUAGUGGUCCCUGGUAAAGGUGUCUUUUCACUCUCCCUUUCAUGGUGUUUGUUGCUGUUGUUGUAGUUUGUUUGUUUUGGUUUCUUUUCCCCCUCAUUUUUAUUUGCAGGACAGUAAUGUUUUGAACCAAGGAAAAUCCACAUGGAAGUCUUUAUGUCAGACAAGUAGGAGGAGCAGUGGCCAGGAAGAUAAGAUGCUAAGAUUUUCUGAUUUGUGAAAUGAAAUCAGAUGAUGUAUGGAAUCAAAAGGAAAAUUUGUACCAGUACUUGAAGAUGAAAAAUGGCUCACAGAUUUAGCAUUUUUGAACAACAACCUGAAGAGAUGAAACCAACUGUUGACUGCUGAAACAUUUCUUAGGACUAGCAGCCAAUGAACUUGAAAAAAUAGAGAAACAAAAUGGCUUGACACCUUAAUGUCAAGAGAGACUUCUAAUGAUGGAAAUGUUCUAGGCUGGAUCACUAAGAUAAGUAUUAAUAACAAUCUCCUGUUAUUUUUGUCUUCUAUACGUAGCACAGAAGAAGAAGUGACUCCUUCCAGUCCUGUGGGUAUUGUUAAUGACAAGUUGCUUGGCUUUGUUUUUCUACCUUUCCUUAUUUAUUUCACUUACUAUCAUAUCUAGGCAGUUUCAGAGAGUUUUAUCAUUUCUUGUCAAAUCUAUCUUGAUCACUUAUCAUUCAAAUGGAUGUUUAAUAUCAAGCUUCAAUGCUCACAGACCUUUUCAGGACUCAGAAGCAGGUAUUUUACAUCCUGAAUAUAUAGUUAUAUGUAAAACGCUCUGAGUUAACUGUCUCGUGGCCUUUAUAUUCUCUUGAAUCAUCUUCUGAUUUCUAUUGACAAAAUGAAAAUAUUUAGUUAAGGUUGUAGGCAAAAAAAUAAGUACAGAAGGUAUAUAGUGUAUGCAAUACAUAGCCAUUACACUGAGUCCUAAAUAAGCCUAGAGGAAGACUGAACAGUAGUGCUGCAAGGAGUCAACAAUCUCAUUUAUCUUUGUGAGCUCCCAACUCCCACAUAGUCAGUACCAGGCACUUGAGUAAACAAUGCAAACAAACUCACUGAAUAAAGAUGGGAAAACUGAAAACCUGCACUAAUUACUAAAAAGUAAAUACUUCAUACCCUGUCACAGAAGGGUUAUGAAAAAAUAGUAUGGAGAAGAAGAAAUGGUUUAAAAAGCCUAAAAAGCAGAAAUUGAGCCAUUCUUAUUAUAUGCACAGUCUAUUCUGAGCAAAACAUUUUUGUCAGAUCACAGUGCUGUAUCUUUUUUUUUAUGUGCAGUUUGGAAAAACAGAGCAGUCUCUGCUUCACUAUGCUGAUUGUUUUGUCUCAUGCACGACCAUGUCUCUAAAUUUGCCACCCACAGCCCUGACAGCCUCUCUACCCUCCAUCACCCUCAUUUAAAAAAAUAAAAUCUCUGUUAGAUUACAUCUCUAGGGCAGGCACAAAAGCAACUGUGUAGAGAUCCCUGAUUUGAUCUAUAGAAGCUAUCUUGUACACUAGUGGGAUUCUAGUCUUGAGAGCAGAACACAAAUUCAUGUACCCUGCAGCUUGGCUUGGUUUUGCAGCCUAUGCAGCACUUUGUGCUGCCACAGCCAAAUUGGUACUGAUACUUUAAGUAAGUGUCGCAAUAUAUCUAAGUCAGUUUUAUGCUAACUGCAGUCACUGCUACAACCUCAGCAUUGGUGCUCCCUCCUUUACAGCCUGCGUAUUCAGCCACCACUCCAUAUAUUUGUUCUUCUGCUAGGCUAUUUGCUCUUCUUUCACAUACAAAAUAAAUUGUAUAUAUUCUUUUAUAUUCACAAGUAAUUUUUUACUUUCUGGCUUCCCUAUUUCUGUAUCAUCUCAUAUGUGUUACAGAACAUUGCUGGCUAGCCCCAUAUUGCUGUAAAGGCAUAGAGAGUCUCUAUUUCCAUUAUCACAUUUAAAUACUUCAGAAGAAACCAUGCAUUAUGUAUUCUGAAUACUUACUAAAACAUCUUGAUCCUUAAAAAGAGUUUGGUGUCUUUCACUAUCUUUUUCCCUACUUUACACUGGGGCCGAUAACUUUUGGAAUUACAUGAAACCUAGAGAACUGGGAAAAUGAGCCGGAGAGAAAAAUGUAUUUAAUUUUCAGAUAACAAAGCAGUCAGGAAAAGGACUGAAUAAGUCAAGAUAGUAGAAGCAUGGAAAGGUUGCCUUGCCCUCUCUAAACGCUUGGAGAAAUUGUUUCAUAAAGAAAUGGAAGAAAAAAUACAUUUUGUUAUGUUAUUGUAUUUCUGUGCAGAGGAAGGGGUGAAACUGCAAAGAAAGGAGGCAGCAUCAUUCAUCGCAAGUAUUUAGUAACUGUUGUAGUAGGUGUCUUGCGGGGCUACGGGAUGUACGGGACAGGCCUCUCCCUAAGCACAGAGAGACAGUGUUAUCGUGCUGACCUUGAUGCAGAGAAAACAGGAGAAGAAGAAGGAUGAGAAAAGAAUGUGGAAACGGCCAAAUAAGGCACAAUGUUAUCUGGUGUGAACCAAUCAGAGUGGGACAUGACAGCACGGUUUUGUAGGUAAAAUGUAUAUAAGCUGUGUUUAGUAGUGAAUAAACGCCAUUUUGCUGCUCAUCAUAUUGGUGUGUGUCUGCAGUCAUUUGGCCCUGAUCAGGCUAUUGAUCAGUGCGUGCAGAGGCCUAACACAGGUGGCUAACAUCGUUGUUGCAGAAAGCAACAAGUAACAUAGAAGCUAUAAUUUCAUAUGUAACUCCGAAAAUUUUGUCUUCUAAUGUUUUUUUUCUUUUUUUCUUUUUCUAGAAUGAGUUCACUGUGACAUUCAAAUGCAGCCAAAAUCCAAGAGGCAAGAAAGUAGUACCGCUUGAUAGACUUAAGACUGAAGUAACAUCAUAUUUGAAAAGUCAUGGAUGUUAGGCCAAGUCUUCUGUGACUGAAAAAAGAGAAACAUCACUGUCAUUUUAAAAAACGGAAAAAAGAAGACAGGGGAACUACAGGCUGGUGAGCCUCGCCUCUUUACCUGGGUAGAUUAUGGAGCAGAUCCUCCUACAAAUUAUGUUAGGACACAUGCAAGACAAGAAGGUGACCCAACACAGCCAGGAUGAUUUCACCAAGGGCAGAUCAUGUCCUUGUGUGGGCACAAAAAAAACAAACAAACAAACAACCAAAAAAGCAAUGGUGGUCUUUUAUGAUGGAGUGAAAGCAUUGGCUAGCAAAGGAAAUGAAACUGAUGUUGUCAACCUGGAUUUGUACAAGGACUUUGAUGUGGUCCCACACAUCAACUUUAUCUCUAAACUGGGGAGAGAUGGAUUUGAAGGGCGGACUAUCAGGUGGAUAAAGAAUUGGUUGGAUGGUAGCAAUGAGACAGCUGUUAUCAAUGGUUCUUUGUCAAGAUGAAGACUGAUCAUGAGUGGUAUCCCACAGAGGUCAGUCUUGGGAUUGGUGCCCUUCAACAUUUUUCUCAAUGACAUAGACUGUGGGAUCAAGUGUAUCCUCAACAAGUUUGCUGAUGACACUACGCUGAAUAUUGCAGUAAAUACAAUAGAAGGAAGGGAUGCCAUCCAGAGGGACCUGGACAGGAUCAAAAAUUGACCCACAUGAACAUAAUGAAGUUCAACAAUGCCAAGUGCAAGAUGUUACAAUUGGGUCAGGGCAAUCCCAGAUAUGUGUACAGAAUUGGAGAAGAACUCACUGAGAGCAGCCCUGUGGAGAAGAAUUUGGGGAUCCUGCAGGAUGAAAAGUUGGAUGUGAACCAGAAGCAUGUGCUUGCAGCCCAAAAGUCCAACAGUGUCCUGAGCUGCAUCAAAAGAAGGGUGGCCAACAGGAAGAGGGAAGGCAUUGUCCCCCUCUGCUCUGCCCUUGUGAAGCCCCAGAUGGAGUGCUGUGUCCAGGCCUGGGAACUUGAUGUGCAGCUGUUGGAGGAGGUCCAGAGGAGGGCCAUGAAGAUGAUCAGAGGGCUGGAGCACCUUGCCUAUGAAGAAGGGUUGAGGGAGCUGGACUUGUUUAGCAUGGAGAAUGCUCCAUGAAGACCUCUUUGCAGCCAUCCAGUAGUUAAAGGAGGCUCAUAAACAGGAGGGAGACUGACUUUUUACAUAGUCUGACAGUGAUAGGACAAGGGAGAAUAGCUUUAAACAAAAAAAGAAAAAAGAAAAGGGGGGGGAGAUUAAGGUUAGAUAUUAGAUGGAAUUUCUUUACUCAGAGGUUGGUGUUGCACUGAAUCAGGUUUCCCACAGAAAUCAUGGAUGCCCCAUCCCUGGAGGCAUUCAAGGCCACGUUAGAUGGGGCCCUGGGCAACAUGAUCUAGUGGGUUACAACCCACCCCAUGGCAGGAGGUUUGUAACUAGAUGAUCUUCAAGGUCCCUUUCAACCUAAGCCAUUCUAUGAUUCAUGUGAAAUAGAAUGGUGGGGGAAUAAAUGAAACAAAUAUAGGAGAUGAAUCUCCCAAACUUCAGUUUAAUAUCUGUGUUUCUUUUCUGCUGCUUCUAUGUUGCUUAAUGAACUUUAUUUUGAACUUUAUUUUUGAACUUUAUUUGAGGCUGUAUUUGUAUUUGAACUUUAAGAGGCUGUCUUGUACAACUAGUAUGAAAUGAAAAUUGUACCUGAACCAACUCUCUG
ensembl:lncRNA